AGCUAUUCACCUUCAUAUAAGAGAGACCAACAGCUCCUGCGAUAACAAACAGUAUUUUGUUUUGCCCUUUUAAACACUGCAUUGUGAUAAAUAAAGCAUCCACCAACCAAUCACGUGUCCGACAGCACUCUUGAAGUUAAACCAAUAGGAAAGCUAAUCCUCUUGACGGGUCGAUUGUGUUACCAACGACCCAUCAAUCCAACCGAUAAUCUCUGAAGCACACUGGACAACUAACACUUCAUACACCUGCCCAAUGCCUAACAGCCCUGAACCUUCAGAUCCCUCAAUCCUCUAACAUCUGUCCAUUCUUUCACAUUAUUUUAUUUUGCAUGUAUUAUUCCUUAUACUUUACAUUUAACCUGCCAUACUGAGUAUUUAAUUGCACUUGUUUUAUAUUUUAUUCUAAUUCCCUUAAUUUGUUAGUUGAAUAAAACAUUUUUGCACUCAUCUUAGUCACCUUUUUUAUUUUGGUCUGCCCAAGCCCUGGUGGAAUGCCCGGUGUAAACUAAGCAAUAGGGAAGGAGAAAAUAUCCAAACAAACACUGUAUAAAAGGAAAUAAACAUUUUACAUUUAAAAAACCCAAAAUGUGGGGGAAAAAAUCCCCUCCAAACAUCAAAAAAUCAACAUACAAAAAACAGAUAAAUGCAGACCCUGAGCUCUCUACCGAGCUAAAGAUCUCGUAGGUUAGAUCUCCUUUUGAUAAACCUCUUGGUCUCGCUACAGCUUCUCUCGGCUCAUCGCCUGAAACCUGACCAUGUCUGCCCAACAAAUGGCUGCUUUAUUCCCAAACUCCAUCUCCUAAAGGCCUCUGGUGGGAUUAGCCUGAAGUGCUUUAAUUCCUUCAGGGCUUCCUGACUGCAGUGCUGUUCAGCUUCCCCACAUUACACCCAGCUCCCAGUGAGUAGUCCCUCCCCGCUGUCCGCUGUUAUCCCCAGCUUGGAGCCGCAGCCUACCUAGCCACGCCUUCUUCCAUUUCUACCCCCCCCCCCCUUUGGCGUGGGUCGCUGGAGAUGCUAGGGAUCUAGGUCUCCCGUCGACCACGUCUAAAGGAACGGUGAUUAGCUUAUGUAAUUAGCCUGUCGGGAAUUCUUGAGUUGGCGUGCCGGCCUGGAUUAGGGGCGGAGAACGAUCUGCUGGCUGGCCGCGUGGUGAAGGGCAUUGUCCUUCGUAACCAAGGGGUGUCAUGUUUUGAAACCGACACCAGGUCCUCGCUGCUGGACUGUCGUAGUGAACAAUGAGCCGGGAAAUCAGGCCACAGCCGCCGAGAAACACGACCGACGCAGACAGGGAGCAGGGGCAAGGAUUCACUGGGGAGGGUUAGGGUGAGACAGACAGGUACGGGCCACUAUCGGUCAUCUGGAUCACAACGAUUGUAACCUUUGUUUGUUUAACUAAUUUUAUACACAUGCUUUGACCUCUCCCCUCUGUUCCUGAAUUCAUGUCGCAUCGCAUCAAAGUCACUCACUCCCAUACAGACGGGUUAGAUAAGGACACAGACGGGUUAGAUAAGGACACUCCAAUUGGCCUGACCCAUCUUUGUAGAUGUGGAAGUAACCAGAGUUACUGUUGGUAUCCACGGCAACAAAAACAUCACUCAGUACAGUAUCACCCAACCCACAGCCGGAGUAGAACAGGUCUCUGGCUACUCAGCCCCUAUUCAGCCCCUACUCAGCCUCCACCCUGAGCCAUCUCCCCUCCAUAAUCUAACAUGACAUGCUGUAAGGGUUAGAUGCUGUUAAGGGUUAGAUGCUGUUAGGGUUAGAUGCUGUUAGGGUUAGAUGCCUAACAGCAUGGUUACAUGCUGUAACAUAGAGGAACGUUCUCGGUUGUCUGUAGUCCACCGGUACGACCCUGAAUCAACAGGCCCGCCCCUAGUCGGGCCUUAAUAAUAGAUUACUGCAUUUGAUCAAAAGCGUUUUCUAAAUGACCCAAUGUUUACAUGUGCAUGAAUAUAGGCGCUAAAGUCUGGACUUUAUAUUUACGAACAGCAACAACAGCGUCUAUAGAGCCUGUAUCAGCCUGACCGGUCCAGGACCCCAAAGGCACCUGCGCCGACCGUACCGGACAGGAAACAAGACAGCGCACGCCACACCGCCUCCCUCACCACCUCUCAACACGUCUCCCUCCAGGGGGGGGGGGGCGGGGUACACGGGUCUGACACCACGUUGACCCCAGAGGAGACGGGGUCAACGGGCUCUUCAGUAAUAACCACCCAUGGGGUAUACUCUGCAGGCAUCACAGAGGGAGGGCAAAUCCACUGAACAACUGUAGGAGUUCAGCGUCAUCACAUGACCCUCACAUGUAGAACGUGUGUCAGUCUGUCAUACCACAGCCCUUUAGAACAGAGUCUGGUACCACAGCCCUCUAGAUCAGAGUCUGGUACCACAGCCCUCUAGAUCAGAGUCUGGUACCACAGCCCUCUAGAUCAGAG
ensembl:lncRNA